rnacentral:rRNA from 1 species
AUUGAACGCUGGCGGCAUGCUUUACACAUGCAAGUCGAACGGUAACAGGCCGCAAGGUGCUGACGAGUGGCGAACGGGUGAGUAAUGCAUCGGAACGUGCCCAGUCGUGGGGGAUAACUACUCGAAAGAGUAGCUAAUACCGCAUACGAUCUAUGGAUGAAAGCGGGGGACCGUAAGGCCUCACGCGAUUGGAGCGGCCGAUGUCAGAUUAGGUAGUUGGUGGGGUAAAGGCUCACCAAGCCAACGAUCUGUAGCUGGUCUGAGAGGACGACCAGCCACACUGGGACUGAGACACGGCCCAGACUCCUACGGGAGGCAGCAGUGGGGAAUUUUGGACAAUGGGCGCAAGCCUGAUCCAGCAAUGCCACGUGCAGGAAGAAGGCCUUCGGGUUGUAAACUGCUUUUGUACGGAACGAAACGGCUCUGGUUAAUACCCGGGGCUAAUGACGGUACCGUAAGAAUAAGCACCGGCUAACUACGUG